rnacentral:rRNA from 1 species
GUUGGAAACGACGUCUAAUACCGGAUACGACCCUCGGAGGCAUCUCCUGGGGGUGGAAAGAAUUUCGGUCAAGGAUGGACUCGCGGCCUAUCAGCUAGUUGGUGAGGUAAUGGCUCACCAAGGCGACGACGGGUAGCCGGCCUGAGAGGGUGACCGGCCACACUGGGACUGAGACACGGCCCAGACUCCUACGGGAGGCAGCAGUGGGGAAUAUUGCACAAUGGGCGAAAGCCUGAUGCAGCAACGCCGCGUGAGGGAUGACGGCCUUCGGGUUGUAAACCUCUUUUAGUAGGGAAGAAGCGAAAGUGACGGUACCUGCAGAAAAAGCACCGGCUAACUACGUGCCAGCAGCCGCGGUAAUACGUAGGGUGCAAGCGUUGUCCGGAAUUAUUGGGCGUAAAGAGCUCGUAGGCGGUUUGUCGCGUCUGCUGUGAAAUCUGGGGGCUCAACCCCCAGCCUGCAGUGGGUACGGGCAGACUAGAGUGCGGUAGGGGAGAUUGGAAUUCCUGGUGUAGCGGUGGAAUGCGCAGAUAUCAGGAGGAACACCGAUGGCGAAGGCAGAUCUCUGGGCCGUAACUGACGCUGAGGAGCGAAAGCAUGGGGAGCGAACAGGAUUAGAUACCCUGGUAGUCCAUGCCGUAAACGUUGGGAACUAGUUGUGGGGGCCAUUCCACGGUCUCCGUGACGCAGCUAACGCAUUAAGUUCCCCGCCUGGGGAGU